GAGUUGUUGAUCCAUCGUACUCAGAGAAAGCAGAAUAAAGAUAUCCCGGAUAAGAGAGAAAGCGAUCCUUGACCUAGUCUAGUCAGUUCAUCCUGGCUUAAUUGGUUUCACGAAGGACAAGACAGGCUGAGGAGGAGAGACUAGGUUGAACCAGGCUGAAGAGGAGAGACUAGGUUGAACCAGGCUGAGGAGAGACUAGGUUGAACCAGGCUGAAGAGGAGAGACUAGGUUGAACCAGGCUGAAGAGGAGAGACUAGGUUGAACCAGACUGAAGAGGAGAGACUAGGUUGAACCAGGCUGAGGAGGAGAGACUAGGUUGAACCAGACUGAAGAGGAGAGACUAGGUUGAACCAGGCUGAGGAGGAGAGACUAGGUUGAACCAGGCUGAAGAGGAGAGACUAGGUUGAACCAGACUGAGGAGAGACUAGGUUGAACCAGGCUGAAGAGGAGAGACUAGGUUGAACCAGGCUGAAGAGGAGAGACUAGGUUGAACCAGGCUGAGGAG